CCGGCGCACGGGUGCGUAACGCGUAUGGCAACCUACCAUCAACAGGGGGAUAACACUGAGAAAUUGGUACUAAUACCCCAUAAUAUCUCAUGCGGCAUCGCAUGGGGUUGAAAACUCCGGUGGUUGAUGAUGGGCAUGCGUUGUAUUAGCUGGUUGGUGAGGUAACGGCUCACCAAGGCGACGAUACAUAGGGGGACUGAGAGGUUAACCCCCCACAUUGGUACUGAGACACGGACCAAACUCCUACGGAAGGCAGCAG
rnacentral:rRNA from 1 species